rnacentral:lncRNA from 1 species
UCAAAUUAAUUAAUUGAAUUACUUUCAAAACUUUAACCAAACUAAGCCUCGAAUAUAUUACAAUCAAUGAUGAUAAUUCAGUGUUAUGUACUAAUCACUCAAUUGGGAAGGGGGGAAAAAAAACUCCAUACUACGCCUUAACUGUCCUAGGAAAUUAGAAAUAACUCACAUUUUUACAGUGGUGCCUAAGAAUGUAAAUGUAAUGUGCUCAUCACAUUUCUGUGUUGGGGUUGUUUCCAGCAAGAAUGAGAGAGAUUUCGAGCCCACGACUGAAGGCUUGGUUGAACAUGAGACGGAUUUGGAACGUGGAUAAGAAUGUAAAUGUAAUGUGCUCAUCACAUUUCUGUGUUGGGGUUGUUUCCAGCAAGAAUGAGAGAGAUUUCGAGCCCACGACUGAAGGCUUGGUUGAACAUGAGACGGGUUUGGAACGUGGAUAUGAACGGGAACCAUGAAAACAUUGCGAUGGGGAUGAAGAUGAGCAUUCCCAUUCCCGCAUCGUAUAGUCGGGCAAUUGAACGGACGGACUUCCAUAGUCCCAGC